CGGUUAGUGGCGGACUGGUGAGUAACACGUAAGCAACCUGCCUAUCAGAGGGGAACAACAGUUAGAAAUGACUGCUAAUACCGCAUAUGCCUUAGAAUCACAUGGUUCAAAAGGGAAAGGAGCAAUCCGCUGAUAGAUGGGCUUGCGUCUGAUUAGAUAGUUGGUGAGGUAACGGCCCACCAAGUCGACGAUCAGUAGCCGGACUGAGAGGUUGAACGGCCACAUUGGGACUGAGAUACGGCCCAGACUCCUACGGGAGGCAGCAGUCGGGAAUAUUGCGCAAUGGAGGAAACUCUGACGCAGUGACGCCGCGUGCAGGAAGAAGGUUUUCGGAUUGUAAACUGCUUUAGACAGGGAAGAUACAAGACAGUACCUGUAGAAUAAGCUCCGGCUAACUACGUGCCAGCAGCCGCGGUAAUACGUAGGGAGCAAGCGUUAUCCGGAUUUAUUGGGUGUAAAGGGUGCGUAGACGGGAAAACAAGUUAGUUGUGAAAUCCCUCGGCUUAACUGAGGAACUGCAACUAAAACUAUUUUUCUUGAGUGCUAGAGAGGAAAGUGGAAUUCCUAGUGUAGCGGUGAAAUGCGUAGAUAUUAGGAGGAACACCAGUGGCGAAGGCGACUUUCUGGACAGUAACUGACGUUGAGGCACGAAAGUGUGGAGAGCAAACAGGAUUAGAUACCCUGGUAGUCCACACCGUAAACGAUGGAUACUA
rnacentral:rRNA from 1 species